AUGACUACAUCAAGGCGCCUGUCGGUUAGGAAGGUGGAGAAGUUUGAGAAAAACAUUACAAAAAGAGGAUUUGUGCCAGAAACAACUGUUAAGAAAGGAAAAGACUACCCUGUUGGCCCCUUGGUGCUCGGUUUCUUCGUCUUUGUUGUCAUUGGAUCAUCUCUCUUUCAGAUAAUCAGGACAGCAACCAGUGGAGGCAUGGCAUAA